rnacentral:misc_RNA from 1 species
GGGAGCCGGAUGCCUUAAUUGGGCACGUCCGGUUCUGAGAGGGGCUGAUUCUGUAAGGACUCAGUCUACUCACC